AGGGUGAACGCUGGCGGCGUGCCUAAUACAUGCAAGUCGAGCGCGAUCUUCGGAUCGAGCGGCGAACGGGUGAGUAACACGUUGGAACCUGCCCCAAAGUGGGGAAUAGCUCCGGGAAACCGGGAUUAAUACCCCAUGUGCUCUUUGGAGUAAAGCUUUAUGUGCUUUGGGAGGGUCCUGCGUCCGAUUAGCUAGUUGGUAGGGUAAAGGCCUACCAAGGCGACGAUCGGUAGCUGGUCUGAGAGGAUGAUCAGCCACAUUGGGACUGAGACACGGCCCAAACUUCUACGGAAGGCAGCAGUAGGGAAUUUUCCACAAUGGGCGCAAGCCUGAUGGAGCAACGCCGCGUGCAGGAUGACGGCCUUCGGGUUGUAAACUGCUUUUAUACGGGAAGAUUAUGACGGUACCGUAUGAAUAAGGAUUGGCUAAUUCCGCGCCAGCAGCCGC
rnacentral:rRNA from 1 species